rnacentral:lncRNA from 1 species
UAUCUAUAUGUUUCCCUUCGUGAACCCCGUUGAGCCUUAGCCAUUUUAUUCAUCAUAAACCCCCUGUUAACUAUUAAGCAUUAUUCAUCACAAACCCCCUGUUAACUAUUAAGCAUUAUUCAUCAUAAACCCCCUGGUAACUUUUAAUCAUUCAAUUUUUUCCAUAACUCGGUAUGAUUGUAUGAAUUGCAAGAUGUGCAAUAAAACUAAGUUUGGGGUGGAAAUCUUGAAAGAGAAGGCAAGUGCAUAAUAAGAGAUCAUACAAAAAGAAAAAGAGUAUGUAUGUGCUGUAAAAAAAAAAGGAAAAAAAAGAAAAAAGAAAAACAAAAGAGAAAAAUGCACUUGCCGAGACUUAAGACUCGAACACAUAUAAAAUGCUCGAAAAAUUUGAGUAGAAAAAGAGUCAAAAGAGUGAAAUUAACCCCCAGAGUAUACGUGAUGCACGAGAAAAAGAGAAAGAAAAAUCACACAACGUGAC